rnacentral:lncRNA from 1 species
CGUCUGGAGCCAGGGGUCUUGCCAUGAAGGACAUUCAAGCAGUUCUGAGGAGAGGCCCAAGUGAAGAGGAACCAGUUGCCAGCACCACCCUGUCAGCUAUGUUAAAAAGACUAAAAAAGACCAAGCCUGUUAAACAACUCCAUCAAAGAAAAACAAGGAAGCCAUCCAGCUUUGUUCUGGACUCAGCAGCUAAGAUGGCAUGAGCUUCAUCGUAAAGCAUAGUUCUAUGUCAUGUCUACUGGAUGAAUCCAAUGUGGCUGGUCCCUUAAUAAAAUAAGUUGUAACAUAAAUGAGACUGCACAUGUUUUCCUGUUUGGUGCUG